GAUAAACGCUGGCGGCGUGCCUAAUACAUGCAAGUCGAGCGAAUGGAUUAAGAGCUUGCUCUUAUGAAGUUAGCGGCGGACGGGUGAGUAACACGUGGGCAACCUGCCCAUAAGACUGGGAUAACUCCGGGAAACCGGGGCUAAUACCGGAUAAUAUUUUGAACUGCAUGGUUCAAAAUUGAAAGGCGGCUUCGGCUGUCACUUAUGGAUGGACCCGCGUCGCAUUAGCUAGUUGGUGAGGUAACGGCUCACCAAGGCAACGAUGCGUAGCCGACCUGAGAGGGUGAUCGGCAACACUGGGACUGAGACACGGCCCAGACUCCUACGGGAGGCAGCAGUAGGGAAUCUUCCGCAAUGGACGAAAGUCUGACGGAGCAACGCCGCGUGAGUGAUGAAGGCUUUCGGGUCGUAAAACUCUGUUGUUAGGGAAGAACAAGUGCUAGUUGAAUAAGCUGGCACCUUGACGGUACCUAACCAGAAAGCCACGGCUAACUACGUGCCAGCAGCCGCCGUAA
rnacentral:rRNA from 1 species